rnacentral:misc_RNA from 1 species
UUACCCCUUCAGAUCAACUGUCUAAAUAGGCACAAAAAGGCUUACUAGUCUAAGAAAUAUAUUAUUACUAUAUCAAAUUGUAAAUAAAUUAAUGCAAUAACGCCAUCUAUCGGAACCUAAUUGCGUUAUUAGAAAACGUCUGAACGCCAUCUCUAACAAGGUCAUUCGUUCAGUAGAUUUUACUGUUCAAUUUUUUCAUUCCGGGGCUUUAAAUGAAAAUCGAUUCUUAAGGAGAAAACUCCAAAAACAGUCAAGUAAAUACGCCAUAUCAGAUAUAGCUCAAAAAGUUCGAGUCAAAUCUCAAUUAUAUUUAAAUGGGACCACAUGACAAGCACCACCUAUCGAUUAAAAAAGAAUCAUCGAUAUCGGUCCACCCAGUAAAAUAGUAAUGAGGUUAAUAUAACGUUGGUCGACGUAAAAUAGCCAAGUAAAUACCCAGUAUUAGCGAUAACUCAAAAAUUAAAAGCUCAAAUAUAUUUAUAACGAAUAAACUGCUACUCUCUACUCUAGUGGAAUAUUGUAAUUUGAUCGAUAGUGAACGAAGUAAUUUCAUAACAUUUUGAUAGAUGGCGUUGUGGCAAAGUAUUGAACAUGACCACAGUCGUCUUAACAUCGUCAUGUAAAUACGUGUCAUCAAAGAUUAUUCAAAAAUUGCUCAUUAUAUCUCAAUCAUAUUUAAAACGGACGACAUGACAAGUAUUAGCUUUUGAUUUAUACAAAAAAGAUCAAAAUCAGUGCACCCAGUAAAAAGAUAUAACGUAUAAUACAACGUAAGGUGACGAAAAUAAUGUCAAGUAAAUACGCGUUAUCAAAGAUUAAUCAAAAAGUAGUUAUCAGAUCUCGAUAAAAUUUAUAUGUGACCACAUGAUAAACAUCAGCUUUCGAUUAAAGUAAAAAUUAUCAAAAUCGAUACACCCAGUAAAAAGUUGUUGCGGAUUUUCAAGAGUUUCCCUCGAUUUCUCUGGGAUCCCAUCAUCAGAUCCUGGUUUCCUUAUCAUGGUACCAAACUAGGGAUAUCCCCUUUCCAACAAAAAAAGAAUUAUCAAAAUCGGUACACCCAGUAGAAAGUUAUGUGGUA